rnacentral:rRNA from 1 species
CCUACGGGUGGCAGCAGUCGAGAAUCAUUCACAAUGGGGGAAACCCUGAUGGUGCGACGCCGCGUGGGGGAAUGUAGGUCUUCGGAUUGUAAACCCCUGUCAUGUGGGAGCAAAUUAAAAAGAUAGUACCACAAGAGGAAGAGACGGCUAACUCUGUGCCAGCAGCCGCGGUAAUACAGAGGUCUCAAGCGUUGUUCGGAAUCACUGGGCGUAAAGCGUGCGUAGGCUGUUUCGUAAGUCGUGUGUGAAAGGCGCGGGCUCAACCCGCGGACGGCACAUGAUACUGCGAGACUAGAGUGAUGGAGGGGGAACCGGAAUUCUCGGUGUAGCAGUGAAAUGCGUAGAUAUCGAGAGGAACACUCGUGGCGAAGGCGGGUUCCUGGACAUUAACUGACGCUGAGGCACGAAGGCCAGGGGAGCGAAAGGGAUUAGAUGCCCUUGUAGUC